UACAGAGGGGGCAAGCGUUAUUCGGAAUCACUGGGCUUACAGGGUGCGUAGGCGGCUUGUUAAGUAGGGUGUGAAAGCCCCCGGCUCAACCGGGGAAUUGCGCCCUAAACUGGCGAGCUGGAGUGAGAUAGGGGUGUGUGGAACUUCCGGUGGAGCGGUGAAAUGUGUUGAUAUCGGAAGGAACGCCGGUGGCGAAAGCGACACACUGGAUCUUGUCUGACGCUGAGGCACGAAAGCCAGGGAGCGAACGGG
rnacentral:rRNA from 1 species